ensembl:lncRNA
GUAGUGCAGGUGUUUUGUAGCUGUAUGUAAAAAUGAACAUAAGAGCCUUCAUUUUCUCCCGACAUCAGAACCACUGAGGAUGCAGUGGAUUAGUUUUGUUUUUGGUGUUAAUGCACUGCAAAAUACACAAAAACAUGGAAGAGAGGGGUGGGCUGAGCAGUAGGUCAUUAACAUUUAAAGAGACAUGCACCAAAACGGCUCGUUGUGAAUAGAGCUGUUUUUGACAAGGCAAAAUAGGUUUUGUUUUACAUCAUCAUUGAGGAAUUUUAACAAAGGUCACAGGAGCUUCAGUUCUUAUUCAUUGUAUUUGCACAGAAAGUAGCAACCAGCACAGUCUACAUGAAUUUAUCUGUUGUGUUACACUGAAGAAAGAAAAUCACAUGGGUUUGAAAUGACAUGAGCGUGAAACACAAAAGAAUAUAUUUUUAGUGUGAACACAUUCGAAGGAAGCAAAUCUAAUUCAGCAUUAGUGCUGUGAACAGAGAAUCAUGGGAUACAGCGGUUCACUCACAGGACUGUAACACAGCAAUGAUCUCCAGACUCAUAGACCCAUGUGGGUGGCUCUGUUUGACGACUCAACACACUACCCUGCUGAUAAAACAUAGGUUACCAUGGUAACUCGCAGACUCCACUGGCUGCCAGAGCAGAAUUUUCAGCUGAAGAGGAAUAACAAAUGAAUUUGAAAAACUACAGAAAGAAUUAAAAAAAUAAAAUAAAAUAAAAAAAUAACCGAU